rnacentral:lncRNA from 1 species
UGGUAAAGAUGAAAAAGGAAAGGAUAAUCAGUGUUGGAAGGACCAAGGGAAGAUAAUUGGUGUCAUCUCAGUGGAUCUAAAAAUAGUAUGAUCAUUCUUCAGUUCAAUCUGGAAUUAAACAAGAAAGGCUAGGAAAGGACUCUGGUAUCCGUUCUGGAUUUUUCUGAAAGUAGCCCUGGAUAAUGUGAAUGAGCCAUGGGCAUCUGCUUCCAGAGGAAUUGUGGCAGAUGAAGAGACAGCUGGGAAAGGAUGAAAUUGUCUCUAAACUUCUAUGCCUUGGUGUGGGAUAUGAGCUCCUCAUUAGCAGCCUUGCAGAAAACAAUUACAGGAAGCCUAGAUUAGAAGACAGCUUGAUCUCAAACUGUGUGAGAAGGUGGACCAGAUCAGGUGGUGGCAAAAACCGAGCCUUGAGAUCAUAA